rnacentral:rRNA from 1 species
AACGCGAAGAACCUUACCUGGUCUUGACAUCCACAGAACUUUCCAGAGAUGGAUUGGUGCCUUCGGGAACUGUGAGACAGGUGCUGCAUGGCUGUCGUCAGCUCGUGUUGUGAAAUGUUGGGUUAAGUCCCGCAACGAGCGCAACCCUUAUCCUUUGUUGCCAGCGGUCCGGCCGGGAACUCAAAGGAGACUGCCAGUGAUAAACUGGAGGAAGGUGGGGAUGACGUCAAGUCAUCAUGGCCCUUACGACCAGGGCUACACACGUGCUACAAUGGCAUAUACAAAGAGAAGCGACCUCGCGAGAGCAAGCGGACCUCAUAAAGUAUGUCGUAGUCCGGAUUGGAGUCCGCAACUCGACUCCAUGAAGUCGGAAUCGCUAGUAAUCGUAGAUCAGAAUGCUACGGUGAAAUACGUUCCC